GAUCGAAAGAUUUUGAACGAUUUAUAAGAAAAAUUAUUAUCUUAUAUUUAUCUCAAGUAUCAAGAUAAUAGAAGUGAUUCUUUUUUUUGUAAUGUCUUUUGUUCUGAUUCGUUAUCGACUCGUAACUCUUAGAAAUUCGUUUGAUAGGAUUUUUAUAACUUUAUCCAUCGCUUGUAAUAUAUUUCUUAUACUGAUGUAAUUACAUCGUUGCAGUUCAUGAUUUUUAUAAAUGUGUGAACGUGUGUAUACGUUUUUAUAUUACGAAAUUUUAUGCGGUCUUUUUUUUUAUAUAAUAUGAUAUAUGAUAAUGUGAUUCUACAUAUUUUAUUAAUGCUUUAUAUUUUUAAUAAAUAAUUGGAUAUAUUAAUUUUUAUAUUUAAAAUAAAAUAUUGGAAUCGAUGAGAGAAGUAAAUGUUUAGUGAUAAAACAAUAAAUAAUAAUGUAAAGAGUUCUAUCUGCGUGGAUAUGUGUAAGAUAAUAAUUUUUAUUAAUUUAUUGCUAAUUAUUAAAUAAAUCUUUAUUUAUUUAUUUUUCAUUUUUCAUGAAACAUUGUCGUCGUUCUUCUUGAUCUAAGUAAAUACAUAUUUAUUUAAAGAUGAUUGCUGCUGUGAUUAUGACAAGGCCUAUGAUAGAAAAUGAAACAUUUAUAGUGAUAAACUUUUACCGUAAGAGCUAUUUUGAAUAAAUCUUAUCCAGUCCCAAGAAAAGGUUGUGUCAGGUUUGCAUCAGGAUUGUGGCAAAGUGUAUUGUAAAUAAUUCUGGAACAACUUUGAUCAAUGCCUGAUGUAUAUUUGAUACUACACUAACAUCUGUUUAUAAAACUUGCUUAUGUGUAACUAUAAGGAAUUCAAAAGAUUGGAAGUGAAACACUGGAGAUCAAUUUAAAAAUAAAGAAGGUAAAAAAUGUAAA